GCCGGGAGUAGUGGCGUGCUCCUGUAAUCCAGCUACUUGGAGGCCAGGGUGGGUGGGUGACUCUGAUCGAGUGAUUCGGGUCGGUUUGUUGCGCAUUUUAAGAUAAACGGUCGACGGGACGCCCUGACCAAGCGUUCUCGCCGGCCGACAGGGUAUUUAGGGACUUGUUCCCGAUGCGCGACGGCUGAAAUCCGUUUCCUCGAUCACAGACGAAGAGUCAAACCUGACCUAA
rnacentral:SRP_RNA from 1 species